rnacentral:rRNA from 1 species
AGCGAACGCUGGCGGCAGGCCUAACACAUGCAAGUCGAACGAACCUUUCGGGGUUAGUGGCGGACGGGUUAGUAACACGUGGGAACGUGCCUUUAGGUUCGGAAUAACUCAGGGAAACUUGUGCUAAUACCGAAUGUGCCCUUCGGGGGAAAGAUUUAUCGCCUUUAGAGCGGCCCGCGUCUGAUUAGCUAGUUGGUUGAGGUAAUGGCUCACCAAGGCGACGAUCAGUAGCUGGUAUGAGAGGAUGAUCAGACACAUUGGGACUGAGACACGGCCCAAACUCCUACGGGAGGCAGCAGUGGGGAAUCGUGCGCCAUGGGCGAAAGCCUGACGCAGCCAUGCCGCGUGAAUGAUGAAGGUCUUAGGAUUGUAAAAUUCUUUCACCGGGGACGAUAAUGACGGUACCCGGAGAAGAAGCCCCGGCUAACUUCGUG